rnacentral:rRNA from 1 species
CACGUAGGGCGCAAGCGUUGGUCCGGAAUUAUUGGGCGUAAAGAGCUGCGUAAGGCGGUCUGUUGCGUCUGCUGUGAAAACCUCGGGGCUUAACCCCGAGCCUGCAGUGGAUAACGGGCAGACUGAGAGGUAGGUAGGGGAGAAUGGAAUUCCCGGUGUAGCGGUGAAAUGCGCAGAUAUCGGGAGGAACACCGGUGGCGA